AAAAAAAUUGAAGUACGUAAAACAAUAAAAUCCAGUGUUAAAAUUGCCCAGGCAUUUAAUUAAUAAUUUGAACAGUGUGCACUGAUUGAGACAGAAAUAUGUUGGAAGGCUUUGGUUCAGCAAAACGCUCAAACACGCUUAAAUUCAAAUGUAUGCCUAUGUCAUCUGGAUUUAGGAUUAUUUUGGCUUAAAGCUAAGCACAAGCUUAAACGUUCACUCUGUUAUGGCUAGGGCAUUUUGGCCUGGUUGUGUGGGCACACGGUCUGGAACUUCCACAGUGUAACUUUGGAUUCUGAGAGGAGCGCCUGUCAGGACCAGGAGAAAUUUCAUUCAUGUGACAGUACGAGUGCAGGAGUGGCGUGGUCAUGGAGCAGCAGGUUUGUAAAAAGAGGGUAUUUGCUCCGUUUGUCACGCAUGGUGCAAGGCCUGCAGCAGUGCAGCCGUGUGACUGGAAGUUAUACCUCCUUGUGUUCCACGUCAGGCAAUUCCAGAGCCACGCAGGUAGGCUUUAAUUUCACCGGGUCCUGAUUGAUGGCAUCUGGCUUUAAAUUCUAACAGUUUUACUUUACGCUCCUGCGUUUAUAUUAAACUUCUUAUUUAUUUAUUUAAUCUUUGCUUGUGAGUACCCCUUCCGCCCCUCCAACCAACACCCAGAUAUCAGAGACACUCAGCUUUUGUUUAGAUGUUCUAUCAGAAUCUGCCCCAGGCAGCACAGUACAAGAUCCAGGGAAGCUGCUCGAUCAGCUUUAAGGCAGCGUGCUUUCCUUUUCACAUUUGAUGAAUCACAGUCGUAAAAUCCAGAGAGUAGCAUGCUCUAGAUGAUAUUUGGUUUGUUCCACCUGCUUAGUGUGUUUAAUGCAGAGUAGUUGGUGAAAUCAGAAACAGCACUGGUAGUGUUUCUCUUUUCCCAAACCAUUUCUAUCUCAAGUUGAUAGAAUCUCAAGAAGGUUUGUCUUCUCUUCAAGACAAACAAACAAAGUUCUUUUUAUCAUUUGGACAGGACUUUUUCAACUGGUACUGAGUAAUUAGUGUCCUCAUUUGAGAAAUAAUAGUAUUUUUUAUCAGCAACAGCUGAAAGUAAUCUAAUACCUCCUUGACUGUAUUCGAUUGCCUGGCUCAGCGCUCCUGCACAAGACGUGAAGAUGAAAGCUUCUGAUUCAGAUGAUAGUGCAGCAGAGUGCCAGCACCCACCACAGGCGUUCUGCUUUCACAGAAAGAAGCCAGCUCACGUGGAGGCAGCUCGGAAAGUAAGACAGAGGUCCUGUGGCUUUUGAGCAAAGCUGCGUCUACUGGAAAGUAGUAGCAGCAGGGGGAGAAGCGUGUAUAAAUUCCUGCUCAGCGUAUGGAGGCAUGGUGCAUUUACGUUCUAAAUGCAGCUGGUAGCUCUGAUGAAGGCAGGACUUUCUGCAGCUUCCCACUUUUCAGUGGCUUUCUGAUCAGUUGUACCUGAAGCUCAGUGAAGGACAUGGAUGGAGCACUUGGCUGGGAUGUGUCUUUCGGCAGGCAGCAGUAGUGUGGCUGACCAGAGCCAGGCGCGGGACCCUGUCUGAAGUGCGGUGCUGACUUAACUGUGUAGAUGGCGUAAGUGCAGCAGAUGCUAUGACAGGUUUCUUGGUCCUGGAGAUCCAGAGUUCAACCACAGAACUUAAAUUUGUCAUUCUGAACUCUUAAUAUUGCAGUGGUUAAAACGUGCCUACGUAAAAUUGUUGUAUUGAUUUUUUGAGAACAAGUUUUAUUUUCCUAAUCUAGAUUCAAGACUCCCUGGUGCGUGUAAAGCUCGCUAGAAGACACCAUGCUGAACUAACCAUUGAACUUCUUCUUGUUAGAGAAGCAACUAUUUAACAAAUGGAAUAAUGUGCGAAAACCACACAGUUAGGGAAAAAUGAGUCUUGUCUUUCUGUGAAUAGUAACAGAAAUGAAGAGCAGCUUUAGAAAUACCGUGCUUCUAAACCUGAGUUUCUGUCACUCGCUGCCUAUCUUUACAGCGGUACAGCCUCGUGUCCAAUGGCAAAUUUUAGCUGCAAUCUAAGGAAGUCCUGGCUGUCGCUGAGGGCAUGGAGAUUGACCACAGGACUGUGUGCUGUACGGUUUAUGCAGUACGUGUGUCCCAGCGCCGUGCAGUAAUGCCAGGUACUCACAAGGACGCGUUAGCAUGAUUACUGCAGGCUUUGUUUUGCUUUCUGGGAGCAGUGCUGAUCCUCAGAAGAGCACCGUUUGGUGUGCUGGGUCGGAGAGCCCCUGCACCAGCUGAAUUGCCACCCGAAGCUUUACCGGAUGGCUCUGAGCCUACGGUGUUGUGUGUCUGCACUUGCUCUUCAAUGUCAGAACUUCCGCAUCUGUAGCUAAAAGACUAAAAGGUGUGAAUGCUUUAAAACAAGAAUAAUUGACAGUUUUCCAGAUGUGUGCUGUCAGUUCCUAUUCACCUUGACAUAAAAAAAUUGUAGCUAUGCAUAAUUUAUAAAUGUCAUGCAUAAGACUAUAUGGAUCUCAUUUUAAAAUUAAGAUGAAAGAGACUCAUUUCUGGAAUUUUAUUAAAAUAUUUUAGGGUGUUUCUUUAGGCAGCAGGUAGUCGAACACUAUCUCAUCUAUUCAGAUGUGUACUCCUUCUGUCACAGCAGCAUUUGCAUGAAUACACGUGCCAUAAAUGAACGUAAAAGUCAGUAUGUUAAUACCAGUUUUUAAAAGCGAGGGAGCCAGCACCGGUUAAAUGGUCUGGCAGAGUGUGUGACGUAUUUCUGUAGGAGAGCCAGGAAGUGAGUUAACAAAAGAUCACACCGUUUUUCUUUCCCCUACAAUAUUUUAGAUUUGUUUGGUCCUGCUUUUUAUUUUAGCAUGGAAUGAGCAGGAGAGGUUUUUGUAUCAUGCCCUGAUCUCAGCUAUCCAACAGACUGUGUGCAGUAGCACGAAGCAAGUAGGAAUAACCCGUGUACAUUUUCUUCAACUUUUUUAAAAGAAAGAGGUGGAGUCUUUUUUUCUGUGUUCCUACACAUGACGGGGUUACAAAUAUGCUCAACGCACCUCUCCUUGUUUUGUCUUAGGGCUUUGCUUCUACCUGGCAGAUGUGGUUGCUAAACAAUAAGCGGUGUGGUUGACAGGUGAAUUUCACAUCAUCAUCUGCUCUAUUCUGCCAUUCAAUCAUCUUGGAAUUUUGCUUGCCUGAUUAGUUGACUGCAGAUUUUCAAUUUAAAUGUAACUUCAUCUGCUUGAUUAAAAAUGUAACAGAACAUUAUCCAUUGCAAAUAAAUUUCAGGGCAAGAGAUGAUUUUGCCUGUUUAAAAAAAACAUCUGUUUAUAUUGGCUGGGAGCAGAUGAUUAAUACCUCUCUAAUUUCGAGGUUUACCAGUCCAGCUCACCUGUCUCUUUGCAUGGGUAGCUGAAAUUGAUGGCUGUCGGGUAUAAACAUUUACCUGUUGAUGUUUAUUUGAUGGAUUUCUUUUUUAAGGAUAAUAUAGAAUCCCAUCAUUGGGCAUUCAUUUAUUUGCUGUUCAUCAAGAUGAUUGACAGUUUUGCCAGCAACAUAGAAAAGGCUUUCCUUCUUGGCACAUGCGAGAGAAAUAUACUUCCGAGCGAUAAGGGCCUCGAAGAAUAAAGCAGAUUUUCCAGAUUUUUCACUUCCAGCAUUCAUUGUAAUUGUCCUGAAUGGAGGCUUAAGGUUGGCACGAACUCAGCGGGAUGUAGUGGGAGGUGGAUUUCUAACAAGCAGGACAGUCCUGCAGCUGUUCUUUGUGAAAUGACAAAUUGUUUAAGCUUCAAAGCAGCAGUAGGGAACUGCCUGCAAACCCAGGAGGCUGUGAUCUCAGCCAGCGCUCGGCUUGUGAAGGUGAACCCGUGGCAGCAUCGGUGUCACAGCGGCUGCGGGGCUCGGGGCCUGCCGAGCUGCAGGCAUGGCCGGCUGCGCAGAGGCCUGGUGCUAACACCUCCGGCCCGGCUGCUCUGCAGGGCAGCUGGUCCGUGCUGUGGGUCCCUGGCAGCUGGUCCGUGCUGCGGGUCUGCCCCGCUCCUCCAUGCCUGCCCUGCAUCCAGCCCCCUCCGCCUGCACAGAGCCAUAAGCAGUGCUGCACAGCACUGUACGUCACAGCCAGGCUCGUGCUCUUGAGGCACGCACACUCCUGCCUUUUGCUGCUGCAAGUUAUUUUUCCGUCGACGUCACAUUUUUAAAUGUUAUUUUUAGAUGCUGUAUGCUCGCUUGCUCCUAGAUGAGAAGAUAGGGCUUGGGUUCAGGAGGAGGGAGGAGAAUGAUGGUUGCAGUAAGCGUGAGGAAUCACCGGGACUGGGUGCAUGGCCGACUGGUAGGAGAGCAGCCCAUUUCUCUUCAUAGCAUGAGUCCUGCAGAUUUUGUCUCAGCAAAAGGGGAGCUGCAUGUGGAUGCUGCUGUGGUAGCACGUCUGGGCUGCAAGACGGCACCACGAGAGCUGAAUCUGCGACCAUUUUGUGUGACGAACUUCUCUGUGAGACUGAGUAAACUACUUACGUCCUCUCACCUUCCUGAGCUGUAGAUCUGGAAGCAGCUGCCCUUCUUUGUGAAGGAUGUGUGUGUGCUUUCUGUGUCUGCAGUUGUCUCAGUUCUGCUAGCAAAAGGGCAGUUUGUUCAGGCUUUCUUUCAAAGUGCAGGAAUUACGCGUUACAAAAAGAUCCACCGUCGUUUAUUCUUGCUCCUGCCCUACGGUGGUGAAAGAUAAUUUCUGUGAGAAAUCCAGACACAUUUGAAUUAAUUUCUGAUCGAGGCAGCUGAGGAAGACAAACUGGAGAGCUGAUUUUCUUAACCUCAAGCCAAAGUUUUGCACAUACUGCGGGCCUGGUCCUCUGCUGUGUCUAUAAGACAUCCACAGCAUCGUGCUGCUAAAAUGCUGACAUAAAUCCUGCACGUGGCGCUGAAAUACCCUGUGCUGAUAUUUCCUUGUGCAAACUGCAGCCCCUGGUCUUUCCUCUUCAUGGUGUGUGCUAAACCUCAAUUAUAGCUUACUCAAGAAUUUAUUUUCAUUUUUACCUUGUUCUCAGACUAUCUUGGAAAACUUAAAUUGAGGCAUACGUUUAAUUUUUAUUGUUUUCUUGAUUUUUGUUUUUGUGGAUUGGCCUUAUUGAGACAGAGUACGUCAUUCCCUGCUGCAGGACCUGUCCCCCAGCCAUAGCUUAUUUUUGGCCAAAGGUAAUUAUAAAUUAGGAAAGCAACUCUUGCUUUACAUUUUUUUCUUCUGCAGAUUCUUAAGAAUUUCUUUUGGAUCCGAUUUAGUGUGUAGAUUUGCUUACUCCCAUGUUCUCCUGAAGGUUUGUUAAAGUUCAGCCUUGGCACUGCUGCACACCCCUGCGUCUGUCAGCUCGAGGCAUGAAUGCUGUCUGUUUUACUGUACUGUGAAAAUGGCAGACUGCAUUUGAAGACCUUGGAAACACUACUACUGUUGGUGGAUUUUUUGGUUGUGGGUUUUUUUUGUUGUUGUUGUUUGUUCUACUGCCAUUUCUUUUGCAUUGUUUUGCAUUCUGUACCGUGAAUACAGAAGAGGUUUAUUUGCAGGGCAUGUAAAUAAAUCAAUUAUGUUUUUAUAUUUUAGUAUAGUCUAUUUCUCCUUAUUAUAUAUGAGUGAAAGGGUUAUUGUAUAGUUAGAUCUAGAAGCUCAAGACUAAUCCAGGCUAUGUGGAAAACAAGGGGAUGUACUUCAGAGGAUUUGCUGAAGUUCUGCUAUUGUUGGUCUGUGAGGUUUCAAAAUGCUGUUUCAAUAGGCCUAGAUGACCUCACCUUUCGCUGUUCACUAAUCCACAACCUCCAUUUGUAUAAUGUGUUAGAAAAGUUUAUUUAAGGAGACUUUCACUGUAAUAAUAGGUGAUGCUUUGCAUAAGUCAUAAAGUCAAAAGUUAAACAAGGACAUCUACGUUGAGUGUACUUGGUACACUCGACCCCAAAGGAAAAAUAGUUACAAAAAUUGCUGUUUGACCAAGUUCCUUUAACGUAUUUUUAUGUGACAAAACUUAAAGCAGCCUCAGAGGAUCCAUAAGCAGUACUUUAAUUUAGUAUUUGUGGUUCAAUUCUCUUUUUUUUUUUAAAUUUAUUUACUUCCUUUUUCAGUCAGCGCUGGGAAAAAAGCCCCAGUGAAUCUCUUUUGAGGGAUGUCCUCUUGUCCACGUUCUUCCACUUAAAAGUACCUGUAGGACACUUGUCAGCUGAUAGUGUUUUGCUCGCUCAACUACAUGCAGAGCUGCUCAGCUCAAGCUGCUAAGUGAGCUGGAUUGCAGAGCAGGUUUACCACACGUGAGCAUUGCACUUGAAGUCCUUCUCCUGGCUUGCUGUGAUUGGUGUUGGUUGGGCUUACCACCACGUGGACAUCUAUCAGCUGCUGCCAUCAGUCCCACGGAGAAGCCUAGAGGAGUUUGAAGGACCUUAAACUUAUUUUUAUGCUUGUGUGAAAAUGUGUAUAUCUGUCGGUUGAGUGGGUCCCAGCAGCAGAAGGGGCAGGAGAUGAGAGCUGCUGUUUUUCUUCUGGGCCUGUAUGCUGUUCCAAACCGUUUCUGUGUCAAAAAGAGUUCUAAAUCUUUUUGUUGUGAUGCGAUCCACUUGUUGUCAUGGUUGUGCUUAGAUCACACCUGGGGUGGCUUCCAUGCAGCACAGUCUCAUGAGUACUUUGACAUCAUGGCGUAUAUUGCUCGUGUCACUGACAUGCAAACAUACAUCUGACCGUAGCUGGACAGGAGAGGAUCAUUCUUUUGGUGUUGCAACCUGAUUCAGCACCCAAGGAGGACUAACUCCUUCCCUGCCAAAAUGUCAGUGUUCGCUCCGCUCAGUGGAUGUAUGGAUCAGCAUUAAGAAACUUCAAAAAUCUGCCUGUCAACACCUGGAUUCAUUGAGCAGGCAAUGUUUUGGUAAUCUUACAGCAGCAUAUGAAGCUCUAAACAACGUGGCUUGGGCACAGCCCUAAGCAGCUGCUCCGAGAUUGCCAGCACAUCUAGAUGCUGUUUCCAGCCAUUCUCUGCCCUUAAUUAUUUCCUGCCCCACUUUGUGUGGAAUUGCAGUUACCAGUAGUCAUCAAAAGAUGCUGAGAAGCUUCAUUUGUGGUUGCUGUGCUGAAGUUGGACUGUCUUGCUGGGGGAAAAAAAAAAAAAAAAAGAAAGUCGUCUUAACUCUUCUGGUGAUUGUUGUGUUCUUUGAAAUUUUGAUAAAUGUGUUUGAGAGGGUGGAUUUAAGAAAAUACGCUGAGGUCAGCUUAUUGCGUUGGCUUUCAGUAGCGUGCCAUUGAUGGAGGAUACCUGGGUACUGGAAGAAAUCUUAUUUGUGCGUGAGGUUCUUAAUCUGCUAGAAAUAGAGUGGUAAUGUAGAAGCACGACUUACGUUCUGUCACUGCUGUGUUCUCACAACUAAGCGGGCACAAACCCUGAAAAACUGUAAUUUUUCACCAAUCUUAAAGCAGGGCUAUUUCUUACCCUACUUGAGGUUGAAAAGCAGUAGUGGUCUUCUGAAAUGCAGGAAUAGUUUUGGGAGAAGGAUCAGGGCUAGGAAUGGUUUGUAGGUGACAAGGCGUAUCUUCUUAACUCUAAAACAAGGCUAAUUUUAACCCACACCUAAUAAAUGUUAAUUUAUCAGGAACUAGGUACUGCUGAUCCUAA